rnacentral:rRNA from 1 species
UAAUGUCUGGGAAACUGCCUGAUGGAGGGGGGUAACUACUGGAAACGGUAGCUAAUACCGCAUAACGUCGCAAGACCAAAGUGGGGGACCUUCGGGCCUCAUGCCAUCAGAUGUGCCCAGAUGGGAUUAGCUAGUAGGUGGGGUAAUGGCUCACCUAGGCGACGAUCCCUAGCUGGUCUGAGAGGAUGACCAGCCACACUGGAACUGAGACACGGCCAG